rnacentral:rRNA from 1 species
CGGACUGGUGAGUAACGCGUGAGCAACCUGCCUAUUACAGGGGGAUAACAGAGGGAAACUUCUGCUAAUACCGCAUAAGACCACAGCUAGGCAUCUAGUAGGGGUCAAAGGAGAAAUCCGGUAAUAGAGGGGCUUGCGUUUCAUUAGCUAGUUGGUAAGGGUAACGGCCUACCAAGGCAACGAUGAAUAGCCGACCUGAGAGGGUGAUCGGCCACACUGGAACUGAGAUACGGUCCAGACUCCUACGGAAGGCAGCAG